rnacentral:rRNA from 1 species
AGAGUUUGAUCCUGGCUCAGAACGAACGCUGGCGGCAGGCUUAACACAUGCAAGUCGAGCGAACCCUUCGGGUUGAGCGGCGGACGGGUGAGUAACGCGUGGGAAUAUGCCUCUUGGUACGGAAUAGCCCUGGGAAACUGGGAGUAAUACCGUAUGUGCCCUUUGGGGGAAAGAUUUAUCGCCAAGAGAUUAGCCCGCGUUGGAUUAGGUAGUUGGUGGGGUAAUGGCCCACCAAGCCGACGAUCCAUAGCUGGUUUGAGAGGAUGAUCAGCCACACUGGGACUUAGACACGGCCCAGACUCCUACGGGAGGCAGCAGUGGGGAAUCUUAGACAAUGGGGGCAACCCUGAUCUAGCCAUGCCGCGUGUGUGAUGAAGGCCUUAGGGUCGUAAAGCACUUUCGCCUGUGAAGAUAAUGACGGUAGCAGGUAAAGAAACCCCGGCUAACUCCGUGCCAGCAGCCGCGGUAAUACGGAGGGGGUUAGCGUUGUUCGGAAUUACUGGGCGUAAAGCGCGCGUAGGCGGAUUAGUAAGUUAGGGGUGAAAUCCCGGGGCUCAACCCCGGAACUGCCCUUGAUACUGUUAGUCUUGAGUUCGAGAGAGGUGAGUGGAAUUCCGAGUGUAGAGGUGAAAUUCGUAGAUAUUCGGAGGAACACCAGUGGCGAAGGCGGCUCACUGGCUCGAUACUGACGCUGAGGUGCGAAAGUGUGGGGAGCAAACAGGAUUAGAUACCCUGGUAGUCCACACCGUAAACGAUGAAUGCCAGUCGUCGGGUAGUAUACUGCUCGGUGACACACCUAACGGAUUAAGCAUUCCGCCUGGGGAGUACGGUCGCAAGAUUAAAACUCAAAGGAAUUGACGGGGGCCC